UAAUUAUGCUAGGUCUAAAAUGACUGUUUUAUAAGACAAUCUUCAGAGAGUGGACUACACAUGAUUUAAUGGAGAUGCCAGUAAUCCUGACCCUUUCUGCUCUCCUGACCUGCCUGAUCCAUCCUGAUGCCCUACCUCUGGAUGGAGCUCUCAUCAACUGGAGGCUACAUCCUAGAGAUUCCUGAGGACUGUGCUGCUUGAAGUACCAUGGAAAUGGUUUUGGACCUCAAUUCCACAUGGACGUUCUCGCUGUUGUUGCUGGGACUACGGUUGCUGCAAUGGCCUUGGGACUGCAGUUACCACAUGCAGUUUUACACUCAGGUCUCCUUUAGUGAACAGUGGACUAGUUCAACAAACAGACUUCAUAUAAACACCAUAAUGAACUUUCGUUUACUUUCACACUAUCCGUUGUUCCCCAGAUGAGGACGGUUCCCUUCUGAGUCUGGUUCCUCUCAAGGUUUCUUCCUCAUAUCAUCUUGUUCAUUCCCAGGGAAUUGUAAAGUGAGUGCUCCAUAUAAAC
ensembl:lncRNA